ensembl:snoRNA
CUGCAUUCUCAAACCCCUCUGGUAGCUUUAUUGCCAUAGCUUCCAGAAUAAGAACGAAUGCAAGAAAAAAUUGAAGAUCUAUCCAAAAUGUGGAGCUAAUUUCUUGUGGCUCUUUGUUAUUUCACAUCUUCAACAGUA